AAGAAAAAAGAAGCAAAAAAUCCCGCUAAUUAAUUUAUUUAUUAUUACAGGAGAAAGAAAAAAGAAAGUUUUCCACAUCAACUGUCCCUAAGCUCUCUUCAGUCUUCUGGGUUUUCUCCAUUUUCACUUUUUUGAGAUUUCAACUGGUAACUCUUGUUAUUUUGUGUUUGUUUUGCUGCAGUAUUUUUGUUUCAAUUGUUCUUCCCCCAUCUUUUUUAUGAAUCUAAUGUGUAUUUAUAUUGAUGGUCUGAAGCUUAUUGGGGAAACACCCCAUUACCUAUUACCAUAAUUUGAUGGUGUUUGUCUGUGUCAAUUUUGGUUUAUCAAGUUAAAGUUAUGACAUUUCUUACUAAUACUGCUGAAUUCUACACAAAGCAACUUGCUCUUCCUUCCUACCUUAAGAAACAUAUUACAAUUGAGGACCUUUAGGGUUUACAGUCUCUAGUUUUAGAAGAAUUUGGAGUAUAAACUUGUGGUCUGGUCUUAUACUUAAAGUGGGUUUUAGACGAAUGAUUACUAUCCCCUAAAUAUGUGUUAGAGGAUCAACCCAUUGAUCCUACUGAUGAAGUUGUAAAAGAGUUGGGUAGCUUCCUCGGCACAUUGGGAAGGAGUGAGACCUUUUGUCCUCUUAAUGUAUUUGAUUGGAGGAAACUAGAUACAAAAAAUGAUAUUUGGAAAUAUGUCAAGGAAAAAUAUGACAUUCCUGAAGAGGCGAAGCAAUGGAUUUUUGAUUCAAUUUGUACUGCUUGGAGAAAGUAUAAAAGUCAGUUGAAGAAAAAGCACUUUGAAGCAUAUGAGAAUGACGACCUUCGAAUGGAGAAUAGGCCUAUAGAUGUUCCGGUGUCUCACUUUAAAGAUCUUCUUGAAUAUUGAAAGUCCGAUCCCGCCAAGAAAACGUCUGAGACCAAUAUCGAGAAGCGAAAAAAGUUGAAGCAUCCACACACUGCUGGCAAAAUAAGUUUUGCUCUAAUCAUCGAGGUGGAGUAGAUGAAGAAAUGGAAGACGGAGGCAGUGAUGAAGAUCUAGAUCUUACUUAAGAGAAUUUUGAAUUGUUGUAGAUGCAUGUGGCGGUUUCUAGGAAUGUUUGUUAUCAACAUUUUAAAACUUUUAACUCUUGAAAUAUCAAAUGUAUGUACUUAGUAACAUUUCAUCACUUCUAUGGAUUUAUUAGCUUGUUGGACAAU